AGUUAAAAAUUUAUAUGUUGUGCACGGGAUAUUCUAUAAUAUCCUAAUCGCAAUCAAUAGAAAUUGAACCGUGUGCAUUAUCUUACUGAUAUCAUGACGAUGAGACAGAUCUGUUACGUGAUUGUUCCAAUGUGUUUUUUUCGAUAUUUCUAGUUAAUUUUUUCUUGUUUUUAGUCACAGCGCUUACUUGUAUUUUAUUUGAUGAACAAUUCUGACAGUGAAGUUAUUCCAUGCUAAAAAGAUGUCAUUCGCAAUAUCAACGAAUUACUAGAAAAAUGUAAUUUUUAUUCGUUUAUAUUGGUGAGAGUUAUUGGCGAUUGGAAAUUGGUCUCAAAAAUGAUUAACAAUUAUUGUCGGGAAAACUCACUUUAGAAAAAUGUAUAAACAUGAGAUAUCACAGCAAAUAUAUUUCUUAAUUGUUCAAGUC